AGGAACUCUGGAGAAACCCGUUGAAUCGGGAGCCGAAGGUGCAAGGCAGCAGCCGCUUAUCCGGCCGUACGCUGAAUCUCUCAGGCAAAAGGACAGAGUGGA
rnacentral:ncRNA from 1 species